rnacentral:rRNA from 1 species
UACGAAGGGGGCUAGCGUUGUUCGGAGUUACUGGGCGUAAAGGGCGCGUAGGCGGCCCUCCAAGUCGGGUGUGAAAGCCCACGGCUCAACCGUGGAAUUGCACUCGAGACUGAAGGGCUCGAGGACGGGAGAGGAUGGUGGAAUUCCCAGUGUAGAGGUGAAAUUCGUAGAUAUUGGGAAGAACACCGGUGGCGAAGGCGGGUCUCUGGGCCGAUACUGACGCUGAGGAGCGAAAGCGUGGGGAGCGAACAGG